rnacentral:rRNA from 1 species
AAGGGCACCACAAGAACGCGUGGAGUAUGUGGCUUAAUUUGACUCAACGCAGGAAAUCUUACCGGGUCCGGACACACUGAGGAUUGACAGGUGUUACACUCAACACAUGCUUGCAUGUGUUGAGAAUAAAUAUGCUAGUCCUUUCAUGAUUAUGUGAUAGGUGGUGCAUGCCGUUCUUAGUUCGUGGAGUGAUCUGUCUGCUUAAUUGCGUAUCACUAAACGUGCAACACGUAUAUGUGUGUGUGUGUCGAUUAUAAUAUAUUUAUAUAUUUUAUUGACCCUCAUACAUAUUAUGCGCGUUGAUAGCAACGAACGUGACCGUAACCUCUUGUUGCCUUUUUACACACACACAGUUCACGCUGUGUGUCAAAAAGUGCCAACUAGAGGGACCGCUGUUUCCUUUUUUAAACCAGAGGAAGGUUACGGCAAUAACAGGUCUGUGAUGCCCUUAGAUGUUCCGGGCCGCACACGUGCUACAAUGAUUAUUGCAGUGAGCAUCUCGAUUUAGACAAUAUUGUUUGUAUGCGAUGCUAUAUAUCUCUCACGGUAUAUAGUUAUUGCGCACACAAUACUGCCUGCUUCGAAAGUUCGCGGGUAAUCAAUUAGCAACAAUGAUUUCCGUAUUAAGCACACAUAUAUGUGACAGUAUUACCCACACAGUACUUUGUGACUGUGUUGUGCGUAUUACUGCUCGCAUGUGCAAUUGUCAAUUCAUGGUGGGGACAGACUAUUGUUAAUUUUUAGUCUCGGUCUCAACUAGGAAUGCCUUGUACUGGUAGCUCAUCAAACUACCAGGAAUACGUCCCUGCCCUUUGUACACACCGCCCGUCGCUCUUACCGAUGAACUAUACUGUGAGUUUAUUGGACUACACACAUACACACUUCACUGUGUGUGUGAGUGCGGAAAAAUAAACGAACANUNUGGUUUAAAGGAAAGAGAAGUCGAACAAGGC